rnacentral:lncRNA from 1 species
UGAGGAAAUAGAUAUAAGAAACUUGUAUUUGAAAGUCAGAAUUCUCUGAAUAAAAUGUCUUAACUCUUGCAGACGUAUAGUGUACCUGAGGUGAAUUUGCAGACAAAUCCAGUGGAAAGAAGCAGAAGAAACAAAAGAAAAAAGAAACCUAACCCCUAAGAGCCGACUUCUGAGCAUCAAGUGUACCUUACUGAUGGAAAAUGUUCUGGAGAGAAACACAGCCAUAAUUUUAAUAUUUCUCCACUAUUAACAAGGUCUGUAUUUUAUUAAAUCUCACAAAAGUGAUACAUACAUACAUAGAAAACAAUGUGUUAAGGC